rnacentral:lncRNA from 10 species
CCUGCCAGAGGCACUGCAGGGUGUAGUCACUUUCAGCACUCCUGUCUGACAACUCCCAGACUUUUCCUGCUUUAAUCUCUUCAAUGCCCAACUCAGAGAUAAAUCUUCCUAAAAUAACAUUCUCACCAUGUUGCUUUCCUGGUCAAGAACCUACAGGCUCUCCUCAUAGAUUACUGCAUCAAGAUCCCAAUACUCAGCUGGGCAUGAUGGCUCAUGCCUGUAAUCCUAGCACUGUGACAGGUCGAGGUGGGUGCAUAGCUUGAGCCCAGGGAGUUCAAGAACAGUCUGGGCAACAUGGCAAAACCCCAUCUCUACCAAAAAAAAAAAAAAAAGGAAAAUUGGCCAGGCAUGGUGGUGCAUGCCUGUAGUUCAGCUACUUGGAGGCUGAGGCAGGAGGAUCACUUGAGCCCAGGAGGUUGAGGUUGCAGUGAGCUGAAAUUGCACCACUACACUCCAGCCCAAGUGAUAGAGUGAAAGACUCUGUCAAACAAACAAACAAACAAACAAAAAACAAAAACACUCAAAUUCUGUACUUGAAAUUCACGGUUCUGGCA